rnacentral:tRNA from 1 species
GGUGCGCCGGACGGGCGGCUCCGGGCCGCUCGUCACGGUCAGGGCCGAGGCUGAGGGCGAGGCCCGGCUGUUCCUCGCCGCCGCCUACCCC